rnacentral:rRNA from 1 species
UACGAAGGGUGCAAGCGUUACUCGGAAUUACUGGGCGUAAAGCGUGCGUAGGUGGCGAGCUAAGUCUGUCGUGAAAGCCCCGGGCUCAACCUGGGAAUGGCGAUGGAUACUGGCUCGCUAGAGUGCGGUAGAGGGGAGUGGAAUUCCCGGUGUAGCAGUGAAAUGCGUAGAGAUCGGGAGGAACAUCAGUGGCGAAGGCGGCGCUCUGGACCAGCACUGACACUGAGGCACGAAAGCGUGGGGAGCAAACAGG